CGGCGGGACGGGGUGGAGUAACGCGUGGGUGACCUGCCCACUACCGGGGAGUAACAGCUGGAAACGGAUGCUAAUACCGCAUAAGCGCACAGAGCUGCAUGGCUCGGUGUGAAAAACUCCGGUGGUAUGGGAUGGGCCCGCGUCUGAUUAGGCAGUUGGCGGGGUAACGGCCCACCAAACCGACGAUCAGUAGCCGGCCUGAGAGGGCGACCGGCCACAUUGGGACUGAGACACGGCCCAA
rnacentral:rRNA from 1 species